rnacentral:lncRNA from 1 species
UGGCACGAAAUUCUAUGAAGACAGACGUGCUUAUCUUCUACCAAGCACCCGGAAGGCUGUGACCCCAAGGCUUGAGCAGCGCCAAGCUUGAAGCAGGUGUUAGAGAUUCAUAGGGACUGAUUCCGGGAGCCUUGAGGGACUGGAGAGAGAUGCUGGUAUAGAUCACGGGUACCGGAUGCAGCAGAGCCAUGCUCGUGCUGGCACGGACAGUGGAAGAAAACACAGGAGAACUAGCCGUUUUCAACGGAGGAAAUGAUGGAGCAGACACGUGCGUGCGCAUCUUCAAGAAUCUCUUCUUGUUCUGCAAUGAAGAAAUGAUCCAGGUCGGGAAGCCACUAAGCAGUAUUCCUCUGUGUCUGCUUCAGGUCCUGCCUUCCCUCCAUGAUGGACUGUAAGCUGUGCACUGGAUUAAAGCCCUUCCUCCCCAUGUUGCUUUUGGUCAUCGCAUUUCUCAUGGCAA